rnacentral:rRNA from 1 species
CCUACGGGUGGCAGCAGUAGGGAAUUUUCGUCAAUGGGCGCAAGCCUGAACGAGCAAUGCCGCGUGAACGAGGAAGGUCUUCGGAUCGUAAAGCUCUGUUGAUGGGGAAAAAGAGCGGAGAGAGGAAAUGCUUUCUCAUUGACAUUAUCCUUCGAGGAAGUCACGGCUAACUACGUGCCAGCAGCCGCGGUAAUACGUAGGUGGCGAGCGUUAUCCGGAAUGAUUGGGCGUAAAGGGAGCGGAGGCGGGCUGUUAAGUCUGGGGUGAAAGGGUGCGGCUUAACCGGUAAAGGGCACUGGAAACUGGCGGACUAGAGAGCAGGAGAGGACGGUGGAACUCCAUGUGUAGCGGUGAAAUGCGUAGAUAUAUGGAAGAACACCAGUGGCGAAGGCGGCCGGCUGGCCUGUAACUGACGCUGAGGCUCGAAAGCAUGGGGAGCAAAUAGGAUUAGAUACCCUAGUAGUC